rnacentral:hammerhead_ribozyme from 1 species
AUCCAGAUGACGAGUCUCUUAUCGGACGAAACGCGCAUCCUGGAU